CACGUAUUUCCACAUCGCAGUCUACCCACCACACAGACGGUACCUCCGUUUUGUGGUUAACCAUCAACGCUUUCAGUUCACUGUACUUCCGUUUGGCCUUUCUGCAGCUCCGCGUGUCUUCACAAAAUGCAUGGCUGUAGUCGCCGCCUCACUCCGGCGGCGUCGGGUACACAUCUACCUGUAUCUCGAUGAUUGGCUCAUUCGAGGGACUUCCCAGUUGCAAGUAUCACAGCACCUGCACAUCGUUGCAGACCUCUUCGGGAGCCUGGGCCUCAUGAUCAACACAGAAAAGGCUACUCUGACACCCACACAGAGAAUAGACUUUAUCAGAGCGGUUCUGGACUCCAAUCUGGCCAGAGCCUGCCUGCCUCCCACAGUCGUGUUUUCAAGUAAUGGCUUCAAUAAUCCAAAGUCUUCAAACCUUCCCGACAAAGUCGGUGUGCACCUACCUCAGCCUAGUAGGUCACGUGGCCUCCUGCACCUUCGUGACCAAGUAUGCCAGGCUACGCCCCCGUCCCUUCCAAACCUGGCUUGCUUCAAUAUACCAACCACACAGACACAGCCUGGACUCAGUGCUCACUAUCCCCAGGAAGGUUCUGGGCUCCCUAACCUAAUGGCUAGACCCCACUCUAGCCUGUGCAGGGAUGCCAUUCCACCCACCGCAACCCUCAAUGGUCCUGACAAUGGACGCAUCAUCUCUGGGUUGGGGUGCUCACCUCGGAGGCUUUCGCACUCAAGGCCUCUGGUUGUCCCAAGAACUGGCCUUAAACAUCAAUGUGCGGGAGCUGAGAUCAGUCCGUCUAGCAUGCCAGGUGUUUCGAGACCAUCUCCAAGGCCAUUGUGUGUCAGUAUUCACGGACAACACAACGGCCAUGUUUUACAUAAACAAGCAGGGCGGAGCAUGCUCCUCCCUCCUUUGUCAAGAAGCCGUCCACCUCUGGAACUUUUGCAUAGCCCACUCGAUCGAAUUGGUAGCGUCUUUUCUCCCAGGAGUCCAGAACACUCUGGCGGAUCACCUCAGCAGAUCCUUCCUGUCUCACAGUUGGUCGAUUUGUCCGGACGUCAUCCCUUCUGUUUUCCGGAAGUGGGGGUUUCCCCACAUAGACUUCUUUGCCUCCCAAGAGAACUGGAAAUGCCAGGUGUUCUGCUUCUUCCAGGGACGCUCCCCAGGCUCCCACUCAGACGCAUUCCUGAUCCCGUGGAGAAGGCACCUACUUUAUGCCUUCCAACCCCCCGUAUACGGUAUACCAUAAGGACAAGGUACAGCUGCGACCACACUCCUCUUUCCUCCCUAAGGUGGUGUCCGCCUUUCAUGUCAAUCAAGGCAUGUUCCUCCCAGUCUUCUUCCCGAAGCCGCACCCAUCACAUUGGGAACAAAAGCUACACACCCUGGAUGUCCACAGGGCUCUCACCUUUUAUAUCAGGAGAACCAAACCCUUCCGAAGGUCACCUCAGCUCUUUGUAGCUGUUGCAGACCAGAUGAAAGGCCUACUGGUCUCUUCCCAAUGAAUUUCAUCUUGGGUGACAUCCUGCAUCCGCACAUGCUAUGAAUUGGUUCACGUUCCGGCUAGCCACCUCAUUGCCCAUUCUACUCGGGCGCAAGCUUCAUCUGCUGCCUUCCUGGCCCAUGUUCCCAUCCAGGAAAUAUGUCGGGCAGCUACCUGGUCAUCAUCGAUUCACACCUUUGCCUCACAUUACACAUUAGUUCAACAGUCCAG
rnacentral:lncRNA from 1 species